UACGUAGGGAGCAAGCGUUGUCCGGAAUCAUUGGGCGUAAAGCGCGCGUAGGUGGCUUCGUAAGUCCGUUGUGAAAGUCAAAGGCUCAACCUUUGAAAGCCGAUGGAUACUGUGAAGCUAGAGUACGGAAGAGGCGAGUGGAAUUCCUGGUGUAGCGGUGGAAUGCGCAGAUAUCAGGAGGAACACCAAUAGCGAAGGCAGCUCGCUGGGACGUACUGACACUGAGGCGCGAAAGCGUGGGGAGCGAACAGG
rnacentral:rRNA from 1 species